UACGUAGGGGGCUAGCGUUGUCCGGAUUUAUUGGGCGUAAAGAGCGUGUAGGCGGCCAGGUAGGUCUGCUGUGAAAACUCGAGGCUCAACCUCGAGACGUCGGCGGAAACCAUCUGGCUAGAGUCCGGAAGAGGAGAGUGGAAUUCCUGGUGUAGCGGUGAAAUGCGUAGAUAUCGGGAGGAACACCAGUGGCGAAGGCGACUACCUGGCCCAUUCUUGACGCUGAGGCGCGAAAGCUAGGGGAGCGAACGGG
rnacentral:rRNA from 1 species